UGGGGUUGUACAAGUUCCCGUUGACCCGGAGUUUAUAGGAGAACGCGAGGCUAUCUUCAUCACUUCGGAAGACGUUUAUCAAGCAGCCUCCAUGGAUAAUAUUGGAUCCUUAGCUAUGCUGUUUGGUAUGAGAUGCAUUUGGGAAAGCAUGCACCCAAAUUCACGACAAUUAUAUAAAUUUUUUGACACCGAACAUCUUUCUAUUGGCAAUGAUGAAAGUAAAAACUAUACGGUGGAUCUUAUAGCCAAAUGGAUGAUGACUAUGGAUAGACGAGGCCAAAUAUAUUUCAUUCCUUGGAUUGUUGAUCGACAUUGGAUGUUGGUGCUCGUGAUGAUGUGGGGGAUGACCAUAAUUUUGGACCCUUUAAAAAAUCAUAAAUCUCCACCAAUAAUUACGGAGGUUAUGG